UACAGAGGUCUCAACCGUUGUUCGGAUUCAUUGGGCGUAAAGGGUGCGUAGGCGGUCGCGCAAGUCGGAUGUGAAAUCUCGAGGCUCAACCUGAACUGCAUUCGAUACUGCGUGGCUAGAGUGCUGGAGAGGAGACUGGAAUUUACGGUGUAGCAGUGAAAUGCGUAGAUAUCGUAAGGAAGACCAGUGGCGAAGGCGAGUCUCUGGACAGCAACUGACGCUGAGGCACGAAGGCCAGGGAGCAAACGGG
rnacentral:rRNA from 1 species